GUGCUACGUCAUCGGCACUGCGCACCGCCCCAGGGCCCGAGCCGUUGGUGAGGAAAGCGGGCGACGGUUGCGCGGGCAGCCGCUGCUACUGUGGGAAAAGUGCGGACGCCACUCUGGGACGGCCCUGUGGGCCACACCAAAGCCCGCGAGCCCGGGAAACGGCAGGUCUCGCCUCACGCCCGACUCCCCGUGGGUUGAGGGACUCCCUGCCCUUGUCCCGCCCAGGUUACACUUCCUUCUCUGAGAGCUUGGAUGGUGCUCUUAGCCGCCACCUCUAUCACUGCCCGCCUGUCAUCAUGCCUGCUGGGCGGGUUUUCUGGCUUUGGCACCCAGUCAGCCUGCAAGUACGGAGUCGCCUCAGCUUGCCAACAGGGAAGUCAGAGGACUCUGCCUACUGUUGGUUACUUCACAGCACCUCCACUUUCAAAGAACAUCUUCCUGAGAAUAAACAUGAAGAGUACUGUGACUGUAAAACAUCAUAUUGACAGAGAAUUCAAAGGAAUACUGGAUACAGAAUAAGAAAAUUUGGGAUGUUAAAACUCAGAAGUUGAGCUUCAGCUCGGAAAACAAGAUGAGGGAUCUUUCCAGCCUGCACCAAUGUUCACAUUUCUGAUUGAAUUACAAGGUUUUUCUUGUUUCAAACUCAGAAGCCCUUUGGAAACUUUGGGGGGAAAUCUCACCACAUCCUUUAAGUCUCGCUUAUGGUUAGCGGGGGAGAUACACUAGCACUCAGGGAAGUACCUCAGCCUCCAGUAUGUGUAGCCUUGCCAUAAAUCUACCUAAGGUCUCCUGCCCCGGCCUUGCUGUCUAUCAGUGUGGUGUGUGUUCACAGUUUUACUUUCCCAGCUAGCCAUCUUUUCCUGGAUGGUCUUAAACUACUUGCUGAGUUUGGUGGUUUUUUGUUUUGUCUGAUUGGAUUUUGUUUGUUUUGUUUAUUUUGCAGAGCGUUUUCAGACUUUUCUGUUAGGUGAAUUUUACAUUACCAUUAAGAAAUGGUUUCCAAAUUGUACAUUGCCCAGUAACUGCCUCUCACUAUUGUAGUUUUGAUGGUACUUUUGGUAUUAUUUUUAUUUUGUGUCUUGAUCUUUGGACAUGAAGCACACCAUUAUUAGUUUCUGCUGGAGAUAUUUAUGUGUGUGGUGUGUACACUUGAUCACAUGUAUGUCUGCACAGCUGUGCACAUGGGUGUAGAGGACAGAGGUUGACUUGGGGUGUUUUCCUCCAUCACUUUUUGCCCUUAGUUUUUGACCCAGGGUUUCUCACUGAACCUGUAAUUCAUCAGCUCAGACAGGCUGGCUGCCAGUGAGUUUCCCAGACUGCCUGUCUCUGCUGUCUCAGGCCUGAGGUUAUCUGCCAUAUUGGAUAAGCACUUUACUAGCUGAGUCGUCUACUCCACCCUGUGGAAACAGUGUUGCUAGAGGAUUCUUAUUUGGGUCUUUCUUCUUCUUCUUCAUCUACUUUAUCUUCUUCCUAAGUAUCCUUUCCUGGCAUUUGUUACAUCACAAGCUUUUGUAUCUGUAUUUCUUGACUCCUUCAUGGUUAUUUCAGACCAACUUUCCCUUUUUGUCAUCCUAGCAGGGACUCUUAAACCAUCGUGUGUGGGAAGCUGCUCCUCCAUGACCUCUAUGGGCCUCUCCUCUUGAGAAAGUACUUUAUUAAGGCAAACUACAGCUCCUGUCACUCAACUGGUUUCAGGGCUGCAAGUACUACUUAUCAUUCUCCUCCACAGUCAAUGGCAAGUUCUAAUUCCCUUCGGUUGUUUCUUCCAUAAGCCUAAGGGCUUAGCUUGUAUGACCCAAAUCCUCAUUCCUGAUUUUUAAAAAAAUGUAAUUGGUAAUUAUUUACACCUCACUGGAAUUGCUGCACCUGUCCUUCCCCAGUUACAAUUUGGAGUCAAAACGUUCCCAAAUCAAUCACCUAUAUGUGUCCCUGCCUGGCAUCAUUUUGGUUUCCUAUUGCUCUAGCUCAGUUACCACUGCGAAGAUGGGAAAUCCUUGCCUGCUCACACCUGGAUCCAGAGUGCAAAAUGUCCACAUAGUAGCUCUAACUUAGAGUCUAAUGGGACUCUCAUUGUGUCUCCUGGCAGAAAUGCAUGCCAUUCGGAAGCCAGGACUUUUAUACCUUCAAUGUGGGGACAGGAAAGUGUCCCCUGACAAGUCAGUAGGACUGGGGUUGAGUGGGGUUGUUUCUGCUUUCUCUGUUUUGUUCUUGGAGCCAUGUGUUUGUUCUUAGCAGGACAGUAAUUGAAGUCAGUGUGCGUACUGCUUCCUAAAGGAUGGCACUUAACCCUCAUGAACUCCCGCUUCUGAACUGGCACUUCCGUUAUCCCAUAGUACACUGAGAGCAGAUGCUAGGGUUAGACAGCCAGGUCAGAAACACCGAGGAAGGUAAAUAAGAAGGCUUGCACCUGGCUGUGAAAUAGCCAGCCUGACCAGGUAAGAGAAGAGACAGAACACUGGGAAAACCAGUGAUGUUUCAUCUGUGCCUGAGCCCCACCCUCCCCUGUAGGAACAUGUACAGGUAUUGUUGCCCUUUUCCCUCCCCUGUAGGAACAUGUACAGGUAUUGUUGCCCUUUUCCCUCCCCUGUAGGAACAUGUACAGGUAUUGUUGCCCUUUUCCCUCCCCUGUAGGAACAUGUACAGGUAUUGUUGCCUUUUUCCCUCCCCUGUAGGAACAUGUACAGGUAUUGUUGCCUUUUUCCCUCCCCUGUAGGAACAUGUACAGGUAUUGUUGCCCUUUUCCCUCCCCUGUAGGAACAUGUACAGGUAUUGUUGCCCUUUUCCCUCCCCGUAGGAACAUGUACAGGUAUUGUUGCCCUUUUCCCUCCCCUGUAGGAACAUGUACAGGUAUUGUUGCCCUUUUCCCUCCCCUGUAGGAACAUGUACAGGUAUUGUUGCCCUUUUCCCUUAGUGAACAUCUAAAAUUUACAGAUAGUUAAACCUUCAUGGAUAAGCAUGCAUCUAAUUGUAACAGACUGAAUUGUGGGUAAUGGCUUCUGAGAAAGCUUCCGCUUUUGUAGGAGGGCAACCUCUCAAUACUGCUCCAGGAAUAGACAAAGGAGACCUGGUGGACAACAUCCAGACAUCCCUGGGCCAUUGCCCCUUGGCUCACAGUACCCUCCCAUCUUGCCUUUGCCUUCCCAUCUGCUACAGCACAUCCCAACAACUUGUUUCCCUUACCUGUCCCCUAAUGUGAAUCUCUUUGCUUGAGAUUGGAGGACAUGUGGAAGGAGGCAUCUCUAACACCGUCAGUAGGUUGCCAGGUGAUCUGUCAGGCUAAAUGACCCUGUUGAUUCCCUGGUCAUGAGUUCACAUAUCUUUUUACUCUGAAGUAGGUCCUGUUUACAUGCUGUCUUGAAUUGGACCCCAUACCUGUGGAUCAGGCAUUCUUUAAGGUCCUAAGUAAUGAUAAUAUAUGCUAAAGCCCUGAAAGGCAGAACAACAAAUCCAUACCCAGAAUAAGAUUUAUUCCUGUUAUGAUAGACCACUAGCCACUCCGAAAUGGAAAGAGUCCAUGUUAUUGACCAGGUAUUGAUUUGUCUUGAGUAAUACUGUGGUAUUGGGAACACAGUGUAGGUUUCUGUCCCUAGCAGUUUCUUUAGAAACAGAUGUAGGUAUGGAUUGGCUUUUGUAGCUGGGAAUUUAUGUUGUGACUCAUGUAUAGCCUCCUGUGCAAACAUGACUACUCAUGUGUUGUCAUAGUGACAGCUCUAGAGUAGGCCAUGACAAAUGCUUUGCUUAACACCAACUGACAGACUCCGUUGUUGGUUUGAAUUGUUCUGUUUCUCUUUCAUGAUUGAUGUUCUAGUCAGAAUGAACAUGUCAUUAGCCACUAAGCAAGACAGGCUCCUUUAGGGACAGAAUCCUGUGUUGAUGCACCUUCAGGGUAUCCUUUCUUUAUUUGCAGCUAAGGCUUUAUGGCAUGAGCAGCAGAACAUUCCCUGAGGCGUGUGUCUCCUAUGUCCACUUUUAAAACUAUGACCUUACCCUGAGUUUGCUCAGGGAUGUGCUCCUUAACUACACCUGCUUAUUGCUCAGCCUUGGGCCACCCCUUACGUGAGUACGAAUAGGAUCUCUGAGUAAAAUUCCCACACUUUCUUUAUUGGAAGAGCUUUGGAAAGGACACUUGUGUUCUGUCUUAUCUAUUGCAAGUAAUAUUUUUCUACUCUUUAUAUAUUGACUGUGAUUAUUUUGGCUUGCACUCAAUGACAUGGGAAUCUAUUAUAUUUGAUAACAAUAUAAUAAAAAAGAUUCUCACCCCUUGUGACCACACACCUUCAUUUCUAUACCUUUCUUCCCCACUCCACUGUCUCUGACCUUCCAGCCUUCUCUGCUGCCAUCCUGUCCCUCUGCUAGGCUACUGCCAGUCCACAGGAAUCUUCACAAUAGAUUACUCUCAUUCCACACAGCGUGAAUGAAAAGUUGUGGGGUGAAAGUUUUACUCAUUAGGAAGAAGGGCCACAUAAAUGUAGCUUCCUCUUGUAUACCAAGCCAACUUCUCUAUAAAUAAACAAGCCAACAUCCUCUCUUAGCCAGGGCACUUUGAGGAAGAUGUGCUGAUUCAAGCUCAGUACAUGGUAAUAGGGAACUGGGAUACAAGUUCAUGCAAUUGAUUCAUUCCUGCUAAUACAAUACAUUAUUUAUAUACCACUGUGAACUGCUACUGGGCCCAUCUACCUUAAGAUUUAGCUCAUAAUGAAUUUUUCAAAUCCAUAGAUAGUAACUUGGUACCCCAUGGUCAAAUUUUUUGUCUUUGUCUGGUACUAUACCUAGUAUGAUUUCUUGAAAGGAGUAAAAUCCUCUGUUAAAGGUAUCACUUUUCUCUGUUACCUGAGACAUCUAUAUUGUGACCUCCAUGUAUAUGAAAGUCCACACUGCUAUAAAGCCAUUUAUUUGUUGUUCCUGGGUAUGCUCUAAAUAAAGAGCAAUAUUCGUUUGUGGCUUUGUUGCUUCCAGAUCCCACUGUUAAGUAUGAAACACAAUAUACUGUGUUUUAUUCUGGAGGGAAUGUCUCUACCUACCACUGACUUCUGGACCUCUACAAGCUUUUCAUGUUGAAUUGUAUGAUUUUUCUUAGUGUUUAUCUUAUACCUUCUGAAUACAUGUGUCUUACCAAGGGUUUCUGCUCUAUAAGCAACUUCUUGUCACCCUUUUCAAUCAUAACAUUAUUGGUCCACUGUAUUAGUGUGAAGUCCAGACCUCUUCUGACUAUACUGUGUAGAGGGACAAUUAAUAGUCCUUAGGGGAAAAAAGCUAGAAAUAUUGUCUUUACAAGACUGUGAACUGCAUGUCCUUGUUUCUGAUUUAAAUAUGAAAGAAAACUUUUACCCAAUCAUUGUCCAUAAGUCAUGUGCCCGAAGCCUUAUGCUGCCCUAUCAGUGGCAGAAUACCCAGCAUAGUUUUGUGUGGGACCAGCACUUGGUUAAGCUACCUGUCACAGUCUGCAUGCAGUCUGGAUGGUCCCCUUUCCUUGUGAUAGUCUUUAGUUUCUCGCCUAACUUGGGUAGAAGACAAUUUUGAAGCUCUUAGUUUAACUUUCUCACUCUAUUAGCUCUAUAUAAUAGUCCAAGUACUAAUAUUUCAAUAGCCAAUGAUAUCUACUAUAAUGAAAGACUCAGGGACCAGAGAAGUAGAUUUUUUUCAGCCAGACAUGAACUAUGCAUUACCUACUCUCAUAAACUAUAACUGUAACAGUAAACUGAUCUUUCAAGUAUCCAGUUAUCAAAUAUAAUCAGACCUAUGGGCCUGAAAUCCUUGGCUGACUGGGUAAUCCCCUUCUCACAGUAUAAGUAUCCUGUAGAGGUACCCAAGGUCUUUUGUAGAAAGACAUUAGCAGAAUGACUGGAGGAAAAUCGUUACAAUGUACAUGUGUCACAUAUGGGCUUUUGAGAAAGCCUAUACAGGAUGAACAUGUCAUCCAACACUUGAAACUAACAACAUUAACAUUGAGAAACUAAAGUGGAAACUUAGUUUCUUUUGAAAGUCAGUUGUAUCUGAUGGUGUUUUGCUGGGGCAAACACUGGAAAGAAUGUUGUCCUGAAACAGACACAGGUGAAAGGCUGCACCAAAAAACUAAUGGUAGUGUGCUAUGGCUUCUUGCUGCUUCUGAGGACUCGGGCCACUUUGCAGAGUGAAAUGAGUUGAUACAGACUCACUUGGAGUUUUACUAAGUCAGACUCACAUGCUGAGGCAAGACACAUGGUGAGGCAACUCCUAUGGAGGACACAUGAUGUUUGGAGGAAAUAUAAAAUAGGACUCAACAGAUGAUGACCAGGCUUGAUUUGCUUGUAGUACAAUGCCUGUUGGUCUCGAAUCUUUGCUGAUCUUCGCUUCCCUGAGAGAGGCACAGCCAAGAACUUCUCCUGGUUGCUGGUCCAAAGCCUUCCUGCUGACUCAUGCCAAUUCUCCUGAGACCUGGCUGUCUCUGCUAGGUUGUGAACCACUGCUGAUUUGUGUUUGAUAUCUCAACUCUACCAAACUAGACUGCUGGUAUAUUUGUGAAGUGUUCUCCAGUGGAUUGAGCUACUGCUGCUGCUGCUGCUGCUGCUGCUGCUGACCUAUGAGCUGAACUGCUGAUUUCCUGACAACACAUACGGGAUUUGCUCCAAAGAACCAUUUCUAAACAGGUUCACUUCCUCCGUAUCCUUUCUUUUCCACUACCUGUGAUGGGCGGUGGUCUAUAAGGGAGGUUAAAACACUUAAGAACCAACAUUAAUAAUAGGUUUUGAGGGCUGGAGGGAUGGCUCAGUGGUUAAGAGCACUGACUGCUCUUCCAGAGGUCCUGAGUUCAAUUCCCAACAACCACAUGGUGGCUUACAACCAUCCGGUUGUGUCUGAAGAGGGCAGCAGUGUAUUCACAUAAAAAUAAAUAAAAUCUUUAAAAAAAAAUAGGUUUUGGAAAAAAAAGUUAUAAGAAACAAAGUCACACACACACACAAAGUGGCUUCUGCUAUGAUAAAAUAAGAAGGCCAUAGGACUCUCUGUGAAAUAAUCUUGCUUCUUCCCCAAUUGAACCCAUAGAUCAAGGGUCUUAACAGUCACAAUCAGUACAAAGGGGAGCAUGACAAAGUGACACACAGGGUCACAACUUAGCAAAUCCAGAAUAUGGGAAAGUAAUAAACGACCCAGUUUCUCAAGAACAUCAAUAGCAGGAAAUGUGUUUUUAAAGUGAUUAUUUAAAAAGAUGAAAUAUAUCAAGUCAAAUCUGAUAGCUUACAUGUGACCCCAGCAUUCAGGAGGCUGAGGCAGGAUCACCACAGUAUAAGGCCAGCCUGGCUUCAAAGUCUGUUCCUAAUGCAAUAAGCAGACUCUAAACUGAAUCAAAGCAACUAUUUUAAAAUUACAAAUAAUAGCAUGUAUGAGACGAUGGUUUCAAUCUGUAACAUUAAAAUACCUAAGGAAUUAAGCUAGAUAUCUGAUACUAAGGAAUGAUAAACUAUUCUCACAGGACUUUGUAAUUAGUAUAUAUAUAUAUAUAUAUACUAAUAUAUAUAUAUAUAUAUAAUAUAUAUAUAUAAUCUAGAUGCCAAUUGAGAUUUGCUUUAAAAUAAUCUGGGAUGGAGAUGUUGAUAUCAGUGGGUCUCAGAUGUGCAAAUCAGAAGAUUAAAACAAAUUCCUGGGCCUUCCCCCAGAGGUUCUGAUUCAGGAUCUGAGAUGAGGCUAAUGAAGUCACAUCUCUAGUAGUCUUUCAAGGUGGUGCUGAUGUUGGUGUCUCUAACACCCUGGAAUUUCCAACACAAUUCACAGUUUCAAUCGAUGGCCUCUGAAGGCCUCCAUUCAGGAACUCUCUUGCUACACACAGUUCACUACAAGGUACCUCGGAGACUGUGACUAAACUUAAGAGUUUUAAAGUGAAGGGUGAUUCUGCUCUGAAAACACAAAACCACUGCUGGAAGGCAGAAGCACUUUUCCAGUCUUAUGAGUCAAUAACCCAGAGUGGUAUUAGACAAUGGUUCUCAACUUGUCAAAUAUUGCAACCCUUUAAUAUAGUUCAUGUUGUGAUGACCCCCCAACCAUAAAGUCAUUUUCAUUGCUUCUUCAAAACUAUAGCUUUGCUACUGUUAUGAGUCAUAAUGUAAAUAUCUGAGUUGCCAGAUAAUCUUAGGUGACCCCUGUGAAAGGAUCAUUUGACCCCUAAAGGGGUCCUGACCCACAGAUUGAAAACUGCUGACCUAGAAAUGAAGAAGGUGUCAUUGUCCUCACUCUGCACUUUUUGAUUCAAGAAACCUGGAACGGAACACAAUAGUUUACAUUCUUAAGAUGCUGAUGCUCUUUAAAAUCAAAAAUCACUUCUGGGCACAGCAAGUAUAAUAGUUGAUUCAAGGAGAAGCAUCUGUAUAAUUGAGUUGUUGAACUAAUCACUUACAGAAAGAGUGCUGACAAACACUGGUUAUUUGGUCUUAGGUAUUUGGUAAUUAUUUCUGGAAAAAUAACCACUGCAAAGAAAAUAACUGAUAUUUACUCCCAAUGACAAAAUUUGAGGUUUUAGAUGGAAGCUAGAGUCUUUGGGAAACGUGUGUCAACUCUCAUGAGCAUAACUACAUAUCAAUUUCUAAGGAUUCUUUUGUAGUAAAAUAAUGAUACGAAUGUAGCUAUUAGCUUAUUUUGUGGUGCUGUAAUGGAACUCAGAGACUUAUGUGAUACAAUAUGUGAGCCCAGCAUUCCUACUCAAAGCUUUGUACCUAGCCCACUGGUACGUACUUUUCUGAUGUAAUGAUAUAUGUCAGCAUGUCAGCUUUUGGAGGAUCUACAAAUAUAUGUUACAAAAUCAUGCAGCGAUGACAGCUAGUCAAAGGGCAAGCUACAUAAACUGAUGUUAAUGUAACAGUAUGGUACAGUUUCAGAUUCCACACUAUGACAAAGCUUUCUAAAAACUAUCACUCACAAGUGUAAUAGUACAAAGACUACAUCUGUCCACUCACAGGAAGAUCUUGUUGCUAAAAUUCUUUCCCACCUGGAGACAUAAGCAGCAUCUAUCCCUUAUGAGGUCAGAAUGACAAAUUAAGCAUGAUUCUAUUGAAGUUCACUCUGGGGAACCAAUAACUUUAUUGGGCUUCCUUACAGAGUAUAGAUGAGGGAUUAUUAAUGGGUUCAUGUGUCCCUCUCUCCACUACAGGCCAUACCUGGAAAAUCUUUACCCAGUAGAGAUAAGGGCUUCCCUGUGGCCACAUAGAGGGAGUCUCCUCCUUUUGGAGGCCCCACCCACCUGCCUAUCUCAAGACCACGUGCAUUUAAAGCAGAGUUGCAUGUAACAGGUUGUAGAGAGUAACUGGAUACUCACGUGAGAGUCCCCCCUCCUCCUGCCCCCCAUGAUGGUGUAAAUAGUCAACAAGACCAGCCAGGGUGAUCCUUUUGCAAGGGGUCACAGCUGAACUCCUCAAGCUGAUGGUUGCUUGGUUCAUAGGACAGGUGUUAAAAUAUUCAUCCAUUUCCAGUUACAUCCACAUCAGGGACCAGCUUUACUCUGUGUACUAUUUUGUUAUGUACGCAUAUCAAAAUAGACUGAGCACAGAAUCAGAUGCAAGAAUUCAAUUGCUUUCUAUUAAAACAGACAUCAGUAUACAGUUCCUCUGUAGACCUUCACUGUCAGCCUGCCUCCUUUUUAGAGUUGUAACAGCAGUGUAAUGUUUCCUGUGUGACUUUCUAUCCCUACUUUGGAUACAGGCUAAGAUUUUAAGUAUGCUUGUCCUGACACACUAGAUAGUCUUUCUCUGAGGAUCACCUACCGUGCUUGCUGACUUCCACUGCUGAACAUGCUUUCUUGGACCCUGACUCAAAAACCAUGCUUCUCUUCCUCUUCUCCUUCAUCCUCAUCCUAGCAACUGCCAAGGUCUACAGUUUGCCUACCCUGUUGCUCUUAAACACUAAUAAAAUGGUCCUUCUAUUUAAAAGAAUUGGAGGUUCUAAAUACUUCUGCUUAUAUCAAUAGAUUGGUACUCUCUACCUCAGUCAUAGAUUUAUGAGUUCAAAUGGCAGGCAGUGCACGGUACUUCAUGUAUUCAAGCAUAGCAGUAAAAAGCACCUGUGUAUUUAGCAUGUUGGAAUCCUCUUCGGGCUGGCUGCUUAACACACACGUGCUAUCAAAGCAGUUAUUAGGGAAAUAAUUUGUUCAGAAUUAUGCCUGUAAAAGGGGAGCUCCAUCUGUGUUGGAUAACUAGAUAAUUUUUCCAAAUGAAUUAUUGAAACACUGAGCAGCUGAAAACAGAGUUGAAAGAAAAAUUGAAUGUCAGUCAUAUCUUUUCUGGCAGAUAGUUUUUUAUAAGGUAACAUGUAGGAAAAGCACUAUUAUUUAAGCUGAAUUAAUAAUUGUGUUAACUCUUUAUUGUUAAGGUUUGGUUUCUAAUAAAAACAUUAAGAUACCACA